rnacentral:ncRNA from 1 species
AUCCGUUAAGUGAUUGGGCUUAACGAAGGGCUGAGUGGGGCCGGAAAU